UGGGGAAUUUUGGACAAUGGGCGAAAGCCUGAUCCAGCAAUGCCGCGUGUGUGAAGAAGGCCUUCGGGUUGUAAAGCACUUUUGUCCGGAAAGAAAUCCUUGGCCCUAAUACAGUCGGGGGAUGACGGUACCGGAAGAAUAAGCACCGGCUAACUACGUGCCAGCAGCCGCGGUAAUACGUAGGGUGCAAGCGUUAAUCGGAAUUACUGGGCGUAAAGCGUGCGCAGGCGGUUUGCUAAGACCGAUGUGAAAUCCCCGGGCUCAACCUGGGAACUGCAUUGGUGACUGGCAGGCUAGAGUAUGGCAGAGGGGGGUUAGAAUUCCACGUGUAGCAGUGAAAUGCGUAGAGAUGUGGAGGAAUACCGGUGGCGAAGGCAGCCCCCUGGGCCAAUACUGACGCUCAUGCACGAAAGCGUGGGGAGCAAACAGGAUUAGAUACCCUGGUAGUCCACGCCCUAAACGAUGUCAACUAGUUGUUGGGGAUUCAUUUCCUUAGUAACGUGAGCUAACGCGUGAAGUUGACCGCCUGGGG
rnacentral:rRNA from 1 species